ensembl:snoRNA SNORD18 Small nucleolar RNA SNORD18
CUGGAAUGAUGAGAUUCCACUUCAUCGGUCCGUGUUUCUGAAACCCAUGAUUUUGUGGAAGUUCUGACCNN